rnacentral:rRNA from 1 species
UGAGGAAUAUUGGACAAUGGAUGGAAAUCUGAUCCAGCCAUGCCGCGUGCAGGAAGAAUGUCCUAUGGAUUGUAAACUGCUUUUGUAUGGGAGCAAUAAGGUAUUCGUGAAUACCGAUGAGAGUACCAUACGAAUAAGCACCGGCUAACUCCGUGCCAGCAGCCGCGGUAAUACGGAGGGUGCAAGCGUUAUCCGGAUUUAUUGGGUUUAAAGGGUGCGUAGGCGGUUAUAUAAGUCAGCGGUGAAAUUUUUCAGCUUAACUGGAAACAUGCCGUUGAUACUGUAUAGCUUGAAUAUGGUUGCUGUGAGUGGAAUGUGUAGUGUAGCGGUGAAAUGCUUAGAUAUUACACAGAAUAUCGAUUGCGAAGGCAGCUCACAAAGCCAUUACUGACGCUGAUGCACGAAAGUGUGGGGAUCAAACA